UAUCUUAGUGGCGAACGGGUGAGUAACGCGUUGGUGACCUACCCCAGAGAGGGGGAUAACAGUUCGAAAGGACUGCUAAUACCCCAUGUGGUCAUGGUAGUUAGAGAGCCAUGACUAAAGGUGCAAACCGCUCUGGGAGGGGCCUGCGUCCCAUCAGCUAGUUGGUAGGGUAACGGCCUACCAAGGCGACGACGGGUAGGGGGCCUGAGAGGGUGAUCCCCCACACUGGCACUGAAACACGGGCCAGACACCUACGGGUGGCAGCAGUAGGGAAUAUUGCACAAUGGGCGAAAGCCUGAUGCAGCAACGCCGCGUGUGCGAUGAAGGCCUUCGGGUCGUAAAGCACUUUUCGAGGAGAUGAGGAAGGACAGUAUCCUCGGAAUAAGGAUCGGCUAACUACGUGCCAGCAGCCGCGGUAAAACGUAGGAUCCGAGCGUUAUCCGAAUUCAUUGGGCGUAAAGCGCGUGCAGGCGGUCCGGUAAGUUGGAUGUGAAAUCACCCGGCUCAACUGGGAGAGGUCGUUCAAUACUGUCGGACUCGAGGACGGUAGAGGGAGGUGGAAUUCCCGGUGUAGUGGUGAAAUGCGUAGAUAUCGGGAGGAACACCAGUGGCGAAGGCGGCCUCCUGGACCGUUCCUGACGCUCAGACGCGAAAGCUAGGGGAGCAAACGGGAUUAGAAACCCCGGUAGUCCUAGCCGUAAACUAUGUAGACUUGGUGUCGGUGGUGUAAAACCAUCGGU
rnacentral:rRNA from 1 species